CAGCGAUAACAGGAGCGGUGGUCUGCUCAACAUUGGAACAACCCUGCUGCUGGAACUUUAUGACGAUUUUAAAGGUGUCAUCACCACGAAGGGCAAUACUGUCGCAAUUAACAAGAUGACUGAUGUGAAUCUGUGACUUGGAGAUGUCUUGAAUUAGACAUAAAUACGAACAAUGCAUUGUCAGCGCAGGACUUUGACCAACUUAAUCUUUGGUGUUCUCUUCGUAAAUGUUAUCAAACUUUCAUCCCCUCUACAAGUUUCUUCAGUGGUCUGUAACUGCAGCAGCAUUACUUCAUGUUAUGGACAUUGUGUCACAUCCCAAGAAAUAGGUGAAUUAGAUUGCUUUGGUAAACGUAUAAACCCAAGAAUCAAAUGGAAAUGUGUUUGGACAAAUGGAAAACUCACUGUCAACAAAAUGUACAGAUACACACUGGUUAUAGAACAAAAAAAAUACUGCCAAAUAUAUCCAAACAUAUCAGGAACAUCGAUGGACCUUCGAAUCGUAAACGAACGUUACAACAUCACAGCUCGUUUGUUUGACGAGAGUUAUCCGCACAGCUGCAAAGAGACUGUUUUCAGAGGUUUUCCUCCAGAAUUGGUUCGAUGUGGCCCCCCAUUAAGUGUAGACUUUAAACGCCAUUCAAGACAGCUGGACAUCUUGCCAUCCUGGGGAAUGGAGAAGAGGUAUAUCCAGUCUUACACAGUGAGAUACAAAGAACUGAAGGGACCGUCGUGGGCAGAGCCAACAGUGUAUUCACAGGAUAUAAAUAAAUUAACUGUGAGAAAUCUUAGCUCUUCGAUGACAUAUGAGGUGCAGCUUCGGGUUCUGGAGAACCAAAGAUGCACCCAGGUGCCCUGGAGCAAGAGUUUCCUUGUCCAACCAGAACUUACAGAUGAGCCUGUCAUUAAGAUGGUUAAAGAUAUUUCAAAAAUGAAAGGGAAGAGAUUGGUGACCAUCAAAUGGAAGUUUGCAGCCAGUGAAGUAUCUGAAGGCUACAGGGUGACUGUGAAGAAGUCAGGAGGGGAGACCACUGAGACCUUUAACACAAGCCACCCCUUACUCACGCUGAUCCUGUCUCACUCAGCCUACCAAUUUGAGAUAAUUGCUAUCAGCAAGGUUGGAACUUCGCCUGCUGCACAAAGGACUAUACCUCCAUUUUACGACAAAGGCUUAAACGGGAAGCUGAAGGUGACAUUUAAUGGCAAUACGUCCUUUAAUGUCUCAUGGGUCGAUGACCUAAUCAAAAACUACUCCUGCUUCGCAGUGGAGUGGUGGGGGAAUAAAGAGAAAGCUGCUCACAAAUCAUUUUAUGAGGAUGAGAAGAUAUAUAAAGUCAUACUAUUGGAUGAGCCAUUGCAGCAGUAUACAAGGUAUACCUUCACCCUGCACACAAGGCUAGACAAAGAUGUCUGCAACCUAAAAUCCAUCAACAACAGUGAGAGCACCUACGGGAGCAUUCAAGCCUACUUCAAAGAAGGAAUUCCCAUCAGUGCUCCAGGGAACAUCAGCAGCAAUGUUACCCAGAGUUCCAUGGUGCUAGAGUGGAUAGCUGUCCCUGAGGAGGACACCAGAGGUUUUCUUCUUGGCUACAUUCUCUACUACAGAGAGAAUCCACAGGAUGGGACAGAAACUGAGACAAACAUUACUAUAGAUGCUGGUUCAAUGAGCUACGAGUUGGUUGACCUGAAGAGCAGCACUGUGUACAAGGUCCAGUUGUCUGCCUUCACUGGUGCAGGAAUGGGACAUACUUUACUGCAAAUGGUGUGAUAGCAGGGGUUGUUGCUGGAGUACCUAUACUCUUACUUUUGGUUCAUCUUUCUUCUAUGUUGUUUAAAAGGGCAAAGAAACUACCUUGGCCAAUUAUCCCUAAUCCUGAUAACAGCAAUGCCAUCCAGAAAUUAGAUGGGGUCUGUGAGCUGAAACUCCUGGACCCCAAUAACAGCCAGACGUUAGAAGAAGAGGAGGGAGACUCUAAAAGUCUGUGCAUCAUUGAUAGAAAUGAAGAAAUAUCUUCCAUUAGCAACAUCUACAGCAACAAUGACAUGUGUCCACAGUUGAACACAGACCAAACGGGGGCCCAAGGGCCUUCUACAUCCACCACAGACUCCCCCAAGCCAAGUUCAGUAGAUCUUCAAACUGACACCGCCACUGCCUGUAAAGCAGCAGGUCCCACUUCCGACAUGGAUGCACGUACUAGCACAGACAUGACACAGACCGCCAUGGCUCCAAACAGCACGGUGGCCCACAAGUGCCCCCCCUUGGCCUUUCUGAGCGAUUACACCACCAUGGAACUCUUCCAACAGACCAUGCCUCAGGGCAUUUCUGCCACAUGUUCAUCAUUGACUCAGGGUCCAUCGAGCCAGUCAACAGACACAGACUCAACUCUGACUCCACUAGAGUUGCAUUAUAUCUGCCCGUCCCUCAGUCAAACUGCCAUCCAACCAUCCCACGGCAGCGCCAGUGAAACUCAGAACGCAGAGGAAUGUUACACAGUCCUUUGAUUUUUACCAGUCAUUCAAAGUAGUUGAUGUAAAACUAUUAUAAACUGUAUGUAAAGAACCAUCUCACUACAUCCUAUUAUAAACUGUAUGUAAAGAAACAUCUCACUGCAUCCUAUUAUAAACUGUAUGUAAAGAACCGUCUCACUGCAUCCUAUUAUAAACUGUAUGUAAAGAACCAUCUCACUGCAUCCUAUUAUAAACUGUAUGUAAAGAACCAUCUCACUGCAUCCUAUUAUAAACUGUAUGUAAAGAACCAUCUCACUGCAUCCUAUUAUAAACUGUAUGUAAAGA
ensembl:lncRNA